CAAUGCCAGAGGAGCUGGAAGUAGAAGAUGGGAAGUACAAUCAAAUUAAUUCUUCUAUCCAUUGGACUGCGGCUACAGGGAGAAGUAUCUUUAAGAUAGCACACUGGAGCAGUACAUAAUGUAUAAAUAAUUGAACUGGACCCCAAACACUCAUUUUUGAGAAAAAAAUGCUUCAAAUGCCUAAGAGAAGAAAUUAACUUAUCUGAAUUGUAUAUCUGUAUUAAAACUCCUCAAACUUCAAAGCAAAUACCUGAGAGUGAAAAAGGAGGAUAAUUUUCCCUCUAAAAAAGACACAUCCUGGACGCUGGAGUAAAGUAAAACGAGAAAUAAAAAGAAAGCCC